rnacentral:rRNA from 1 species
AUUGAACGCUGGCGGCAGGCCUAACACAUGCAAGUCGAGCGAGCGGCGGCCGGGUGCGUAAUGUCUGGUAAACUGCCUGAUGGAGGGGGAUAACUACUGGAAACGGUAGCUAAUACCGCAUACCAUCAGAUGUGCCCAGAGGGGAUUAGCUCGUAGGUGGGGUAAUGGCUCACCUAGGCGACUAUCCCUAGCUGGUCUGAGAGGAUGACCAGCAACACUGGAACUGAGACACGGUCCAGACUCCUACGGGAGGCAGCAGGAGGGAAUAUUGCACAAUGGGCGCAAGCCUGAUGCAGCCAUGCCGCGUGUGUGAAGAAGGCCUUCGGGUUGUAAAGCACUUUCGGCGGGGAGGCGUUACCCGCAGAGGAAGCACCGGCUAACUCCGUGCCAGCAGCCGCGGUAAUUC